AUUUCCAGCGCGUUGCGACUCCUCGAGUCGGGAGUCGACCUCGUCCGUCGGUGAGGUGUCGUCUUUUUGUGAACUCUGAGAUCAGGGGUGCAGCCGGCGAGGAGGCCUGGAAAAGCACAUUUGAUCGGACUGUGACGGUGGAGAGAGCUGACUGCUAAAGAGGUCAGAGCUCUGCAGGGAGUGAGCUAGUAGACCUCUAUUCCGCUCUACGUGAUGCAACAGACUUUCCACUGACUAAAAGUGUAGAUGUUCUCCAGCGUCCCGAGGAACAAGACUCUGCAUCGGCUUCGGUGGCCUUUUCGUGGCCGACGACAUCACGUGACAAACCCGGAAGUUGUACGUUCUACCUCUGACCACGUUGUAAAAAUGGAGACGGAGACGAGGUAGAAAAAGACGGAUUCUGACAAAAACAGCCUUUUCAAAUGUUUUAUGGUGAAAUAACAUGUUUAUCAGAGUGAAAACAGUCAGUUUCACUGAGUUACAGUUACAAGUCCACAGGGCUCUUACCUAACAAACGAUUGUUAGGUAACUUCUAAAGAGCCCCUUUUGACCCUCAUUCAAACAUUUAGCUUCAUGCAACAAAAGGUGUUUGUGGUGUAAACCAUCAUUUGACACACUUGACUUGGAAGUCCCGCGCAGGCCGCCUGUCUCUGCUCCGAUAGCUCCUCUUGUUUACAGUAAUUAAAC
ensembl:lncRNA